AAGCAACACCACAAGGCAGAAUGGAUUUAUUGCCCAAUGAUCAGCAUCUGCAAUCAGUGCCAGUUUAGAAGAAGAAGAACCCGCUGGGCGCCGGGGAGGUCUGAGAAGCUGAGGAGUUAGCACUUCCUUGGAAGUCUUUGGAAAGGGAAUGCUGUGAUGAAGGUGGAGUUUGGUAAAGAUUCAUCUGGCCACAGGCUGCAUCUACCCCAAAUGGACCUUGUGAACCUGAUCCUUCCCAGCUUCUUGCUGCCCUGGAAAGAUAACUGGAAGAGGACAGUGAAGGCCUUUCUUGUCAAGCAGAUCAGCAGUGCAAGCCUGAUGUUCCAGCCAUUUCCCUCCCAGGGAGAGGAAGGGGAACCAUGGUUUGUAACAUGUGCAUGGCAAGAAUGCUCCCACUACGGCCAAUUUCAGGCACCCGACGUGAUGUCACCAAACUGGGGAGAGACUGGCUCCAGAAAGGGCAGUAGCACAUGGCAGUUUGCCGCGCAAAGGGGGAUGGAAGAUGAGGCUACCCAGGAGAGUGAGUAAGCGCUCAGGCUUUGAGACAGACCUGACUUCAAAUCCAGAUCUGCCUCUUAUGAUGAUGACUGUAGCCUUGAUCCAAUUGCUUAAAUUGCUUAACCUCUUUAAGCAUUUUAUUUCAUAUAAGUAAAU
rnacentral:lncRNA from 1 species